rnacentral:rRNA from 1 species
GACGAACGCUGGCGGCGUGCUUAACACAUGCAAGUCGAACGGAAAGGCCCUGCUUUUGUGGGGUGCUCGAGUGGCGAACGGGUGAGUAACACGUGAGUAACCUACCCUUGACUUUGGGAUAACUUCAGGAAACUGGGGCUAAUACCGGAUAGGAGCUCCUGCUGCAUGGUGGGGGUUGGAAAGUUUCGGCGGUUGGGGAUGGACUCGCGGCUUAUCAGCUUGUUGGUGGGGUAGUGGCUUACCAAGGCUUUGACGGGUAGCCGGCCUGAGAGGGUGACCGGCCACAUUGGGACUGAGAUACGGCCCAGACGCCUACGGGAGGCAGCAGUGGGGAAUAUUGCACAAUGGGCGGAAGCCUGAUGCAGCAACGCCGCGUGCGGGAUGACGGCCUUCGGGUUGUAAACCGCUUUCGCCUGUGACGAAGCGUGAGUGACGGUAAUGGGUAAAGAAGCACCGGCUAACUACGU